rnacentral:tRNA from 4 species
UCCGAAUUGGUGUAGUGGCUAACAUUUGACGCUCUCACCGUCAAGCCCGGGGUUCGAUUCCCCGAUUCGGAG